rnacentral:rRNA from 1 species
GACGAACGCUGGCGGCGUGCUUAACACAUGCAAGUCGAACGAUGAAGCCGGGGCUUGCUCCGGUGGAUUAGUGGCGAACGGGUGAGUAACACGUGAGCAAUCUGCCCUUGACUCUGGGAUAACUGCGGGAAACUGUAGCUAAUACCGGAUACGACACAUUGGGGCAUCCCAGGGGGUGGAAAGAAUUUCGGUCAAGGAUGAGCUCGCGGCCUAUCAGCUCGUUGGUGAGGUAAUGGCUCACCAAGGCGACGACGGGUAGCCGGCCUGCGAGGGUGACCGGCCACACUGGAACUGAGACACGGUCCAGACUCCUACGGGAGGCAGCAGUGGGGAAUAUUGCACAAUGGGCGAAAGCCUGAUGCAGCAACGCCGCGUGAGGGAUGAAGGCCUUCGGGUUGUAAACCUCUUUUAGCAGGGAAGAAGCGAAAGUGACGGUACCUGCAGAAAAAGCACCGGCUAACUACGUGCCAGCAGCCGCGGUAA